rnacentral:rRNA from 1 species
UGCCUGCCCGGUGACAAUAGGUUCAACGGCCGCGGUAUUUUGACCGUGCAAAGGUAGCGUAAUCACUUGUCUUCUAAAUGAAGACCUGUAUGAAUGGCACGACGAGGGCUUAACUGUCUCCUCUCUCCAGUCGAUGAAAUUGAUCUCCCCGUGCAGAAGCGGGGAUAAAUACAUAAGACGAGAAGACCCUGUGGAGCUUUAGACACUGGGGCAGACCACGUCAAGCGCCCGGCACAACGGGUAAAACUGAGUGGGACCCUUCCUGAUGUCUUUGGUUGGGGCGACCGAGGGGCAAAAACCCUCCCCCAUGCGGAAGGGGAACACCUUUCUUCCUAUAACUAAGAGCCCCCGCUCUAAUUAUCAGAACUUCUGACCACUAUGAUCCGGCAAAGCCGAUCAACGGACCAAGUUACCCCAGGGAUAACAGCGCAAUCCCCUUCUAGAGUCCUUAUCGACAAGGGAGUUUACGACCUCGAUGUUGGAUCAGGGCAUCCUAAUGGUGUAACCGCUAUUAAGGGUUCGUUUGUUCAACGAUUAAAGCCCUACGUGAUCUGAGUUCAGACCGG